rnacentral:rRNA from 1 species
UACGUAGGGGGCAAGCGUUGUCCGGAUUUAUUGGGCGUAAAGAGCGUGUAGGCGGCUAGAUAGGUCCGUUGUGAAAACUCGAGGCUCAACCUCGAGACGCCGAUGGAAACCAUCUGGCUAGAGUCCGGAAGAGGAGAGUGGAAUUCCUGGUGUAGCGGUGAAAUGCGCAGAUAUCGGGAGGAACACCAAUGGCGAAGGCAGCUCGCUGGGACGGUACUGACGCUGAGACGCGAAAGCGUGGGGAGCAAACAGG